rnacentral:rRNA from 1 species
GACGAACGCUGGCGGCGUGCUUAACACAUGCAAGUCGAACGAUGAAGCAAAGACUUGAAGCUUCGGCAGAAAUUCAUUUCGGAUUAGUGGCAGACGGGUGAGUAACGCGUGAGCAACCUACCUCUUACAAAGGGAUAGCCUCGGGAAACCGGGAUUAAUACCAUAUAACAUUGCGACGAAGCAUUUCGAUGCAAUCAAAGCUACGGCGGUAAGAGAUGGGCUCGCGUCCCAUUAACCAGAUGGUGAGGUAACGGCUCACCAUAGUAACGAUGGGUAACCGGCCUGAGAGGGUGAACGGUCACACUGGAACUGAGACACGGUCCAGACUCCUACGGGAGGCAGCAGUGGGGAAUAUUGCACAAUGGAGGGAACUCUGAUGCAGCGACGCCGCGUGAGUGAUGAAGGAAUUCGUUUCGUAAAACUCUGUUCUAUGGGAAGAAAAGGACUGUACCAUAGGAGAAAGCUCCGGCUAAAUACGUG